AGCGAACGCUGGCGGCAGGCCUAACACAUGCAAGUCGAACGAAGCCUUCGGGCUUAGUGGCGGACGGGUGAGUAACACGUGGGAACGUACCUUUUGGUUCGGAAUAACGCAGAGAAAUUUGCGCUAAUACCGAAUGAGCCCUUCGGGGGAAAGAUUUAUCGCCGAAAGAUCGGCCCGCGUUGGAUUAGGUAGUUGGUGUGGUAAAGGCGCACCAAGCCUACGAUCCAUAGCUGGUCUGAGAGGAUGAUCAGCCACACUGGGACUGAGACACGGCCCAGACUCCUACGGGAGGCAGCAGUGGGGAAUCUUGCGCAAUGGGCGAAAGCCUGACGCAGCCAUGCCGCGUGAAUGAUGAAGGUCUUAGGAUUGUAAAAUUCUUUUACCAGGGACGAUAAUGACGGUACCUGGAGAAAAAGCCCCGGCUAACUUCGUGCCAGCCGCCGCAGUAACAC
rnacentral:rRNA from 1 species